GACGAACGCUGGCGGCGUGCCUAAUACAUGCAAGUAGAACGCACAGUUUAUACCGUAGCUUGCUACACUAUAGACUGUGAGUUGCGAACGGGUGAGUAACGCGUAGGUAACCUGCCUGGUAGCGGGGGAUAACUAUUGGAAACGAUAGCUAAUACCGCAUAAUAUUGAUUAUUGCAUGAUAAUUAAUUGAAAGGUGCAAUUGCACCACUACCAGAUGGACCUGCGUUGUAUUAGCUAGUAGGUGAGGUAACGGCUCACCUAGGCGACGAUACAUAGCCGACCUGAGAGGGUGAUCGGCCACACUGGGACUGAGACACGGCCCAGACUCCUACGGGAGGCAGCAGUAGGGAAUCUUCGGCAAUGGACGAAAGUCUGACCGAGCAACGCCGCGUGAGUGAAGAAGGUUUUCGGAUCGUAAAGCUCUGUUGUAAGAGAAGAACGGGUGUGAGAGUGGAAAGUUCACACUGUGACGGUAUCUUACCAGAAAGGGACGGCUAACUACGUG
rnacentral:rRNA from 1 species